GGUUCAUUCAAAUUUCUGCCCUAUCAACUUUCGAUUGUAAGGUCUUGGCUUACAAUGGUUUCAACGGGUAACGGGGAGUAGGGCUCGACUCCGGAGAAGGAGCCUGAGAAACGGCUACUACAUCCAAGGAAGGCAGCAGGCGCGCAAAUUACCCAAUCCCGACCGGGGAGGUAGUGACAAUAAAUACUGAUACAGGGCUCUUUUGGGUCUUGUAAUUGGAAUGAGUACAAUUUAAAUCCCUUAACGAGGAACAAUUGGAGGGCAAGUCUGGUGCCAGCAGCCGCGGUAAUUCCAGCUCCAAUAGCGUAUAUUAAAGUUGUUGCAGUUAAAAAGCUCGUAGUUG
rnacentral:rRNA from 1 species